GAAAUGCGAUAAGUAGUGUGAAUUGCAGAAUUCAGUGAAUCAUCGAAUCUUUGAACGCACAUUGCACCCCUUGGUAUUCCAUGGGGCAUGCCUGUUCGAGCGUCAUUUGUACCCUCAAGCUCUGCUUGGUGUUGGGUGUUUGUCCCGUCUCCGCGCGUGGACUCGCCCCAAAGUGAUUGGCAGCCGGCGUACUGGUCCCGGAGCGCAGCACAUGUCGCGCAAACGAGUGCCUUGGUACGGCGGCGUCCAUAAGCCCCUCUCUCACGCUCUUGACCUCGGAUCAGGUAGGGAUACCCGCUGAACUUAAGC
rnacentral:misc_RNA from 1 species